UUCUUUUUAUUGCCAAACGUGGGUAAGCCCCAGCUCCAAAACACUCCCAACAAACCCAUACGCUCUUCAUCUCCAAAACCCUAGUCUUAUACAGCCGCUCAUCACGGAGAAUCUCGCAAUCGAAGACGAAGCUCUCUCCCUAUUCUCGCCAUAUAUUCAUCGACAUGGCCGUGUAAUCACUUGUAUCUGUUUCAAAAUCUAGUGUUUUUUUUUUUGUUUUUUGUUUUUUGGGUCAGAUUAUUCAUACAUUUGAGGCACAAAACAUGUACACAUAUAUGUAUACUAGCCUCUCUCUCUCUCUCUCUCUCUCUCUCAACGUGAUCGUUCUUGGAGUUUUCAGAUCUUCAGAAGCAAAUCGUCUGAUUCCUCUUCUGCGGAAGCAAUUCGUUUAACAUAUCGGAUUGAACGUGAUGAUCGUUCUUGAAGUUUUCAGUUGUGUGCAGGUGUUAAUACUUCACAUAGAGUCCUUGAUCUGUUAUUGUGGAGUCAAAUAUAUUCUCACAAAAUCAGAUGGCCAAGUGAAAACGGAGAUGAUGCUGAAAAAGUAAAAGGUCUGAGCAAGAAGGAUAUGGUGGUGGUAGUGUUGAGACUAAUGUGGGAAGAAAGAAGAGGGCCCUAGUCUGUGUAUGAGUUGUUACACUGUGACGUUCGCAACCUCUUCUAAAGCAAUUAUACCAUGCUUAGGCAUGGUGAUGGGUCGAAAGAAAAGGCGUGGGUUGCAUUCUACUAUUGAGUGCUAACCUAGACUUCUCCCAACACUACAUCCCCAUUCUUUUAACACAUCUUAACUGCCAUCGUGUUUCCUGCAUUGAUCAAAAUUUCAUUCUGAUCCU